rnacentral:lncRNA from 1 species
CUGGUAGGACAAAUACUGUACAUUUUGUUAUCGUAACGUUGAAGAGACGUUGUUAUUAUGGUUUUAAAACACUUCCAAAAUGAGUGACUGAAAAUGCGAAAAAAAGAGUUAAGCAGCUUUAAAUGUGAACAUGCGACACAUUUCUAAUGAUGUGAAAAUUCAUGAUGGAUCUGCAGUUAUGAGACGGGAUUAACCUAAGAUUCAUCAGUAAAAAAUGAAGAUGUAUACAUAUGUUCGAUACCCAAAAUGACUGACUACUAGGAUUUGUAAUUAUUUUCAUGAGAGUCUGGAUUAUUGAAUGAAUAACAGUGAGCUCAAGAUACGUUCAAUGUUGAAAAAGGGUCAGAAAUGUAUAAAGAUUUAAAAAUAUAUAAAUGUAUGAUUUAUAUAUUACACUAAAUGAAUUUGUCGAAGAUAACAUUUAAUGAACAGGUGUAUUACAACUUUAAUAUAGUAUUACAUAGAAUAAAUAU